CUACAAUGGGGUCAAUUCACAAAGAUAAACGUUAUCGCUUUCACCUAGUAGAUAAAUUACCGCCCCUUAUCUAACGCUAGUAACCAUGGUAUUCACGAAAGCUUCAAUCGUUAUUUAAUGUAGUCGUUAUGGUUGUCAACUGACUCGUUAUCCAAUCGUUAUGGUUACGUUUCUAACGUAAAUCUCAUUUAGAAGAACGGUAUUCUAACGAAUCAAUCGUUAAUUUAAUGUCCCAAAGCGUAAUAAUAACGUCUACGCUCGUUAAUUAACGCCGGAGAGAUGCAUUCUGGGAGCAGAAGAGGAGGAGAAUAGUUCAUCCUAACCACGUGUUUCCUCUGUAAUUGCGUCCUUUGACCCGGAUCUGGAAAAGUAAAUAAAAGAAAACACACCUGGAGCUCGAGCGCGUGGUGUGGGUGGAAAAAACAGCAGCAGCAGCAGCAGAAAACAUGAGGCCGAGUCUAAGAUCGCUGUUUGAGCAAAUUGUUAAUUCGCCCAUCGAACAGUCAGAAGAACAUUCAAGCUCCAAUGAGGAAAAUGACAAUAAUGGAUCUGUCAAGUCAGUGGGUCAUGUACCCGGAAAUCUAGCUGCUAUGGUGGUAAGUGAGCCGCAAUUCUUUCUGUCCCUCUUGCUCGAGAUCUCCCUGUUUUAACCCCUUUUUUUAGAAGUACAAUAUUAUAAAAUAA